GCUUGAACCCCGGCACUAGGAUGUGGUGAUGAUCACCGACGUCAUCGUGGCCGGGAUCGCCGAGAACCGCAAGUACAGCAACGCCGCUAGAUUUUAUUGUUGUGCAGGACGUACACAAAUGACAGAGAUUGCCUAAAGUAACGAACAGGAUCUUGAUCAUCCCUAUGAUUUAUAUACAUGUACGACACCCCUCUGUCUAUCUGUGAUGUUAGUCAGUGAAACAUCUUACAAUAGUUGAACUUGCAGUAGUACAUAUCUCAACUUUGUCAUCCGGACGUACACAAACACAACUUGUAGAAGAAAGGCACUGAGCCUGAGCCGAAC
rnacentral:lncRNA from 1 species